GGCCACAUCUGCCAGAGCCUGGAGUCUGCGAAGGCCGGGACCCGGUUCCCCGGCCCACAGUGGGGGUGUGCAAACCCGAGAGAACUGGUCGCUGAAACCUCUACAACUUAGUUGACCGUAACUGCCAGAGCCCUGCCCUGAAUUCCUGUCCUUACUCCCUCUUUAAGAUUGCGUACCCACUGCAGAGUGCUGAAGACGGGGUAGCCACGAGGUUGCAAAUUCGUGAAGAAUCAGCAUCAUGUUUGGCAGCUGAGUAUUGGAGCCAGGAGCCUGCCAUGAGGUUUUGAGAACAGAGUGCUGUUUUAGAGCUGGCAGCAGCAUCUCAGCCCAAGAGAAGGUAAGCCUUGAGCUGGCCAAUGAUCCCUUCAACCCCAUAGUGGAAUGAAUAAACAGCUGAUCUUGUUAAAACUCGCUUCAAAAAAAAAAGAUAUCAAAUGAUGAAAUCACCCAAAAUAGCUGGAAUUACCGGCAGAUUGUGUAGUGGUGAACCUAUGGUUUUCUGAAGAUAUCUCUUACCCUGUGAUUGACUGUCAGUUGGUGCAGAAAGUGAGAUUGAAAUGUAGUUUCUUUGCAGGUUAUAUUCCCAGAGGAUGUCAGUCCCAAGGACCAGUAGCUGCCAUCAGUUUGGAUUCUGAAAACUAACUGGCAUCAACACUGGGUGUAGAAACAUGCUUGCCUUAUGUAUCAGAGGACAUGCUCAGCAGAUCCAAGAGAUAUAUUUGGCAACUUUUUCUAGAAAAGGCACAUUGGGUAUCAUUCAUUACAUUCUUGAG
ensembl:lncRNA SNHG29 small nucleolar RNA host gene 29